UACGGAAGGUAGCAGUGGGGAAUAUUGCACAAUGGGCGCAAGCCUGAUGCAGCCAUGCCGCGUGUAUGAAAAAGGCCUUCGGGUUGUAAAGUACUUUCAGUCGUGAGGAAGGUGUUAAGGUUAAUAACCUUAGCAAUUGACGUUAGCGACAGAAGAAGCACCGGCUAACUCCGUGCCAGCAGCCGCGGUAAUACGGAGGGUGCGAGCGUUAAUCGGAAUUACUGGGCGUAAAGGGCACGCAGGCGGUUAAUUAAGUUGGAUGUGAAAUCCCCGGGCUUAACCUGGGAAUGGCAUUCAAGACUGGUUAGCUAGAGUCUUGUAGAGGGGGUAGAAUUCCAUGUGUAGCGGUGAAAUGCGUAGAGAUGUGGAGGAAUACCGGUGGCGAAGGCGGCCCCUGGACAAAGACUGACGCUCAUGUGCGAAAGCGUGGGGAGCAAACAGGGAUUAGAUACC
rnacentral:rRNA from 1 species